AACAGGUCUGUUGCAAGAGGAACAGCGCUGAGCUGAAACACCGUGAUAAAGAAGUGGCAGAAAAAACAGUGUCACUCAGCAAACUUCCUCUGCUUGAGGAGAACAGGAUAAAAUCAGUGCAGUUUUCUUGCCUGGCAGGAGAAGGCAGCAGCCACAAUGAGGGUGCAGUUUAUCAGCCCCCUUGUAGGCUUUUGCUGGCUCAUCUGCCUCAAGGAGACUCAUUUCUCCAGCGCGGAGAUCAAUGAAUGUUUCCAAGUCCCCCCGCCCUGCGGCCCGAAUGCCGUAUGCCUUGACACUGCCGG